rnacentral:rRNA from 1 species
GCCGCGUGUGUGAAGAAGGCCUGAGGGUUGUAAAGCACUUUCAGUGGGGAGGAGGGUUGACAGGUUAAGAGCUAGUUAACUGGACGUUACCCACAGAAGAAGCACCGGCUAACUCCGUGCCAGCAGCCGCGGUAAUACGGAGGGUGCGAGCGUUAAUCGGAAUUACUGGGCGUAAAGGGUGCGUAGGUGGUUAAUUAAGUUAUCUGUGAAAUCCCUGGGCUCAACCUGGGCAGGUCAGAUAAGACUGGUUAACUCGAGUAUGGGAGAGGGUAGUGGAAUUUCCGGUGUAGCGGUGAAAUGCGUAGAGAUCGGAAGGAACACCAGUGGCGAAGGCGGCUACCUGGCCCAAUACUGACACUGAGGCACGAAAGCGUGGGGAGCAAACAGGAUUAGAUACCCUGGUAGUCCACGCCGUAAACGAUGUCAACUAGCUGUUGGAUAUAUGAAUAUAUUUAGUGGCGAAGCAAACGCGAUAAGUUGACCGCCUGGGGAGUACGGUCGCAAGAUUAAAACUCAAAGGAAUU